rnacentral:rRNA from 1 species
CGGUUGAUUGAUCCCGCCGGACCUGACUGCUAUCGGAUUGGUACUAAGCCAUGUGAGUCAUUGUAGCAAUACAAGGCAGACGGCUCAGUAACACGUAGUCAAUCUACCCUAUGGACGGGGAUAACCUCGGGAAACUGAGGAUAAAACCCGAUAGAUCAUAGUGCCUGGAACGGCUUAUGGUCCAAAUGAUUCGUCGCCGUAGGAUGGGACUGCGGCCUAUCAGCUUGUUGGUGAGGUAAUGGCCCACCAAGGCUAUUACAGGUACGGGCUCUGAGAGGAGAAGCCCGGAGAUGGGUACUGAGACACGGACCCAGGCCCUAUGGGGCGCAGCAGGCGAGAAACCUUUGCAAUGUGCGCAAGCACGACAAGGUUAAUCCGAGUGUUUCCUGCUAAAGGAAUCUUUUGUUAGUUUUAAAAUCACUAUUGAAUAAGGGGUGGGCAAGUUCUGGUGUCAGCCGCCGCGGUAAAACCAGCACCUCAAGUGGUCAGGAUGAUUAUUGGGCCUAAAGCAUCCGUAGCCUGUUCUGUAAGUUUCCGGUUAAAUCCAUUAGCUCAACUAAUGGGCCGCCGAAAAUACUGCAGAACUAGGGAGUGGGAGAGGUAGACGGUACUCGGUAGGAAGGGGUAAAAUCCUUUGAUCUAUUGAUGACCACCUGUGGCGAAGGCGGUCUACCAGAACACGUUCGACGGUGAGGGAUGAAAGCUGGGGGAGCAAACCGGAUUAGAUACCCGGGUAGUCCCAGCUGUAAACGAUGCAGACUCGGUGAUGCGCUGGCUUGUGGCCAGUGCAGUGCCGCAGGGAAGCCGUUAAGUUUGCCGCCUGGGAAGUACGUACGCAAGUAUGAAACUUAAAGGAAUUGGCGGGGGAGCACCACAAGGGGUGAAGCCUGCGGUUCAAUUGGAUGGAUUCAA